GAUGAACGCUGGCGGCGUGCCUAAUACAUGCAAGUCGAACGAAAAGGCCCUGCGCUUGUGGGGCGGACGAGAGGCGAACGGGUGUGAAUCACGUGAGUAACAUGUCCCUGACAGAGGGGUAUCACUUGGGAAAAGGGGAGCAUAUAGCGGAGGAGCUCUUGAUGCGCGGUGGUGGAUGGAAAGAGUCGGGGGUUGGGGAUGGACUCGCGGCUUAUCAGCUUGUUGGUGGGGUAGGUGAUUUCCAAGGCUUUGACGGGUAGCCGGCCUGAGAGGGUGACCGGCCACAUUGGGACUGAGAUACGGCCCAGACUCCUACGGGAGGCAGCAGUGGAGAAUAUUGCACAAUGGGCGGAAGCCUGAUGCAGCAACGCCGCGUGCGGGAUGACGGCCUUCGGGUUGUAAACCGCUUUCGCCUGUGACGAAGCGUGCGUGACGGUAAUUGGUAAAGAAGCACCGGCUAACUACGUG
rnacentral:rRNA from 1 species